rnacentral:rRNA from 1 species
CUAAGAAUAUUCCGCAAUGGACGAAAGUCUGACGGAGCGACGCCGCGUGGAUGAGGAAGGCCGAAAGGUUGUAAAAUCCUUUUGCUGGGGAAGAAUAAGCAUGGGAAGAAAUGCCCGUGCGAUGACAUGAACCGGCGAAUAAGCCCCGGCUAACUACGUGCCAGCAGCCGCGGUAACACGUAGGGGGCAAGCGUUGUUCGGAAUUAUUGGGCGUAAAGGGCAUGUAGGCGGUUUCGUAAGCCUGGCGUGAAAUGGUAAGGCUCAACCUUAUCCUGCGCUGGGUACUGCGAGACUAGAAUCACUGAGGGGGAAUCAGAAUUCCAGGUGUAGGGGUGAAAUCUGUAGAUAUCUGGAAGAAUACCAGUGGCGAAGGCGGAUUCCUGGCAGAUGAUUGACGCUGAGGUGCGAAAGUGCGGGGAGCAAACAGG